rnacentral:lncRNA from 1 species
AGAACCUCACUGGCUUUGCUCGUGGACUGCGGAUCUCCUGAUGUUUGCAAGGGGAAGAGGACUGCCCGCAGCUUCUGCACCGACACAGUGGUGCCAAUUUGUUAGCAGCUUGGUGACAAGCACAGAUAAGCCCCAGCAAGGAACUGGCCCAUUGCACAAGACCAGCAAAACUGGCUGGUCAGGCCUUUAACCACUCACCCAUGGCCAAAAUGAGCCCUGGACCGUUCCAGCAAACGCAGCAUGACGGCACCGUUGGAGCCGAGCAGAGCCUGCGCCUCAGUGCCCGCAGUGCGAGCUCUGCCUCGAUGGAGAUGCGGAGCAUCAGCCUCAGCCCUUGAGACAGAGCACAAAAAUGCAUGUGGGAACAUUUGGAAAGCGUGCGGGAUGCAUUUCUUCUGCAUGUGUAACAUUUUCUCCGAAUUCAGUUUCACAACCCAGCAUUUCCUUCUGUAAAUAUUUGGACAGAUUUCACAGAGGCUCAAACUCGUAAGAAACAGAAGGAAAAAAAAAAGACGGGAAAGAUAGGAGAGAAAGAGCAGAAAAAGAGAAAGAGGAGAUGGAGGGAAGGAUCAGCGAUGGAAGGUCACAGCAAGCUGUGCGUGAACAGCAUAGAAUUACCGAUGAGUCACACUACGAUGAAAACAGUAUUUUUAAUGCAUUUAAACCCCGAAAUAGAACCUUUUUGCUGGUGUUUGUUGUGCUCGAAGCGCCUCGGGUUCUGCGUGCGAAGGGAUGGCGUACUUUCAUGGAGGACAAGUCCUGGGUAUAGAUGUACUGCUGAGGAACGAGAGGACACGUGGCACCUCCUGGCCUGAAAGCCAAGGGAUGGAGUGCUCUGCUACGGACUGACCCGGCUCUGCUCUGUCCUCGUAGGUGAUGUGCUCCAUCCCUUGGGUCAUUUUUGUGGCCCUCCUCUGGACAACAGGUCCGCAUCUCUCCUGUACUGAGCACUCCACACCUGAACGCAGUGCUCCAGGUGAGGCUUCAAAAGGGCCACAGUUCUCAUGUUCUCAGACUACAGAGUAACGCUGUGCCUUAAGAGUACACUUCAUAAGAAGAUAUAAAAAAUACAGAGCCGUACAAAGGAAGCCAGGCAUGAAGAAGUGCCAGUGUACCUUACAUGAACACGCUCCGUCUGAGCCUCUCAGUAUUCAUCUAUUUUCUGUGCUUUCUUAGAAUGAGCUUCUAAACUGUUUAUAGCCAGUCUUGGUGUUUAAUAUGUAACUGCUAAAAAAGAUCCCCAUAUCAGUAAAUACAGAACUG